AAAGCCGUGGUGCCCGUGGCCCUGUCCCUGCAGCACCAGGCCUGCUGUCCCCAGUGUCCCCAUAGAGCCCCUGCCACCUCCUCAGCACCGACCGUGCUCUCCACAUUGACUGCAUCAGGCUGCUCCUAUCGACGUUGUUAAGCUCAGGUUUAACUUGCAUAACAUCACAGAUCCUCCUCCAAAGCCAAUGCAUUAAUUGCUGGGGAAGAACAGGAAAACAUAAAGAGCCUUUCAAGGGAAUAAUUUUCUAAAAGUCAGAAUCUGCAAAGCUUAUUUCUGAUAUCACGAGUGCAAUGGAAAUAUUCAGCAAGCAUCUACUGCAGAAGACCUCAAUAAUGCAUAAGAACAUCUGGAGGUGCGGUAAUUUCGGCUAUCAGAGAUAAGAAUUGACACAAAACAGCAAAACUCCGUAAAGAACUUCCAGCUCAGGAACGUUGUGGAGUGUUUUAGAUAUCCAGAGAGAAGCUGUUUGUCAUCUCUGCCCAGGAAUCCACCUUCCAGCCUGGCCCUCAGCAU